GCACUGCUGACGAGUCCCAUAAUAGGACGAAACAACUAUCCAGUGC
rnacentral:hammerhead_ribozyme from 1 species